ensembl:snoRNA SNORA36B small nucleolar RNA, H/ACA box 36B
CUCCAAAGUGUUGAGUGCAGUUCAGGGUAGCUUCCCUGUUCUGUUAAUUAGACUUUGGAACAUUGAAACAGGCUAGGAAAACUGAUUGGAUAGAAAAUAUUACUCUAUUCAUUUAUCUCCUAGCCUACAAAG